AUCGACGAUCACGAUUACGACACCAAGAUGCGCAACGUCCACCGCUUCAUCGUCGAUGGCGACAAGGUGAAAAUCACGCUGCGCUUCCGCGGCCGCGAGCUUUCCCACCAGCAGCUCGGCAUGGAUCUCCUGCGCCGCGUGCAGGAAGACGUCGCGGACAUCGCCAAGGUGGAGGCCUACCCCCGCAUGGAAGGCCGCCAGAUGCUGAUGGUACUGUCGCCGAAAUAAGCGCGCGACCUCGCGUGACGGCAAACGAAGGGCGCUCCGAUGGGGCGCCCUUUGCUUUAUCGGCCAUGAGGAAUAGCCAA
rnacentral:misc_RNA from 1 species